GAUGAACGCUGGCGGCGUGCUUAACACAUGCAAGUCGAACGGAAAGGCUCCUGCUUGCAGGGGUACUCGAGUGGCGAACGGGUGAGUAACACGUGGGUGAUCUGCCCUGCACUUCGGGAUAAGCCUGGGAAACUGGGUCUAAUACCGGAUAGGACCACAUUUUGGAUGGUGUGGUGGAAAGUUUUUUUCGGUGUGGGAUGAGCUCGCGGCCUAUCAGCUUGUUGGUGGGGUAAUGGCCUACCAAGGCGUCGACGGGUAGCCGGCCUGAGAGGGUGUACGGCCACAUUGGGACUGGGAUACGGCCCAGACUCCUACGGGAGGCAGCAGUGGGGAAUAUUGCACAAUGGGCGCAAGCCUGAUGCAGCGACGCCGCGUGGGGGAUGACGGCCUUCGGGUUGUAAACUCCUUUCGCUAGGGACGAAGCGCAAGUGACGGUACCUGGAGAAGAAGCACCGGCUAACUACGUGCCAGCAGCCGCCGUAACAC
rnacentral:rRNA from 1 species